rnacentral:rRNA from 1 species
GAUGAACGCUGGCGGCGUGCCUAAUACAUGCAAGUCGAGCGAACAGACGAGGAGCUUGCUCCUCUGACGUUAGCGGCGGACGGGUGAGUAACACGUGGAUAACCUACCUAUAAGACUGGGAUAACUUCGGGAAACCGGAGCUAAUACCGGAUAAUAUAUUGAACCGCAUGGUUCAAUAGUGAAAGACGGUUUUGCUGUCACUUAUAGAUGGAUCCGCUCCGCAUUAGCUAGUUGGUAAGGUAACGGCUUACCAAGGCGACGAUGCGUAGCCGACCUGAGAGGGUGAUCGGCCACACUGGAACUAAGACACGGUCCAGACUCCUAAGGGAGGCAGCAGUAGGGAAUCUUCCGAAAUGGGCGAAAGCCUGACGGAGCAACGCCGCGUGAGUGAUGAAGGUCUUCGGAUCGUAAAACUCUGUUAUUAGGGAAGAACAAAUGUGUAAGUAACUAUGCACGUCUUGACGGUACCUAAUCAGAAAGCCACGGCUAACUACGUG